CAAAAUUAUAUAUCGGACCGAUACAUAUCGUGCAUCCCUAAUUAUCCUACCAGAAAAUGGACGGUUGGUUUCAAAUGUUUCAGAUGAGAGCAGAUGAGUGACACUUUGAGGAGCUGGACCACGAAGCGUUGAGAUCAAGAAAGAUGUGAACGUGUGUUGUUCUCCAGCAGAGCUGCUCAUCAUGAGUCUGGACGAGGACGCCCGCUGGCUGGAGUGGGUCAGCAGACAGUUCCAGAGCAUCGCAGGAGACAACAAGGAGAUCGACCUCCAUGAGUUUAAAACAGCUCUGAAGGUCAAAGAAUGUGUGUGUAUGUGUGUGUUUGUGUGUGUGUGUGGGUGUGUGUCUGUGUGUGUGUCUGUGUGUGUGUUUUAGUGUGUGUGUGUGUGUGUGUGUCUGUGUGUGUGUUUUAGUGUGUGUGUGUGUCUAUUGCAGCAACAAUUCGUGAAUCCCAAAGGAUCAAAUUCUAUCAGCUGAAAACCGCUGCAGUACUGCAGCUAACCUGCAGGAGGUGACAAAGAGGUGAUUUUGGCUGCUGCUAGAGUUCAUCACUACUUCUACAGAAGAACAAUAUGUGGUAACAUGCUAUAAUUCCUUAUAUUGAAUAUGAAUUUAUGUCAAACUCUUUUUAAUCUACCGACGGAUGUUUUCAUCUUCAGUAAAUCCCUGCAAGUUUUAUUAUAACAUCUGUUUUGUCGCUCGUGUGCAGCUUUUAUUUGACUAUAUAUCAACUAUUUACGUUAUUUAUCUCAUGAGUGUUUUGAGUUGGUCUUAUUAUUAUUAACAAUUAUUAAAUUGAUUAAGACAUAGACGCUGUUAUUGGAGAAACAGCUGUAAUGAGAUGUUUAGCUGAUCAAACAAGCCCGACUGGAUCCGCCAUAAACCAGUAAAGCAGGUCGUUAUUCUCA